UGAUUUUGCUCAGCUCAAUUUAGAGAUCAAACUUCUUGAAGCUGGGAUCUAUAGAUGAAGUUCCCAUCAUAAUCACAGGUUCCGGUAAUCCUCCCAAGUCCAAUAUUUCCAUCCUCCGAGUGAAGGUUUGCCAGUGUGACUCAAAUGGAGACUGCACAGAUGUGGACCGGAUCGUGGGUGUCAUCUCUUGGGUGUUAAUUCCUUUG
rnacentral:lncRNA from 1 species